rnacentral:rRNA from 1 species
GAUGAACGCUGGCGGCGUGCCUAAUACAUGCAAGUCGAGCGAACAGACGAGGGGCUUGCUCCUUUGACGUUAGCGGCGGACGGGUGAGUAACACGUGGAUAACCUACCUAUAAGACUGGGAUAACUUCGGGAAACCGGAGCUAAUACCGGAUAACAUGUUGAACCGCAUGGUUCAACAGUGAAAGACGGUCUUGCUGUCACUUAUAGAUGGAUCCGCGCCGCAUUAGCUAGUUGGUAAGGUAACGGCUUACCAAGGCAACGAUGCGUAGCCGACCUGAGAGGGUGAUCGGCCACACUGGAACUGAGACACGGUCCAGACUCCUACGGGAGGCAGCAGUAGGGAAUCUUCCGCAAAGGGCGAAAGCCUGACGGAGCAACGCCGCGUGAGUGAAGAAGGUCUUCGGAUCGUAAAACUCUGUUAUUAGGGAAGAACAAAUGUGUAAGUAACUAUGCACGUCUUGACGGUACCUAAUCAGAAAGCCACGGCUAACUACGUG